rnacentral:rRNA from 1 species
GAUGAACGCGGGCGGCGUGCCUAAUACAUGCAAGUCGAGCGAAUGGAUUAAGAGCUUGCUCUUAUGAAGUUAGCGGCGGACGGGUGAGUAACACGUGGGUAACCUGCCCAUAAGACUGGGAUAACUCCGGGAAACCGGGGCUAAUACCGGAUAACAUUUUGAACCGCAUGGUUCGAAAUUGAAAGGCGGCUUCGGCUGUCACUUAUGGAUGGACCCGCGUCGCAUUAGCUAGUUGGUGAGGUAACGGCUCACCAAGGCAACGAUGCGUAGCCGACCUGAGAGGGUGAUCGGCCACACUGGGACUGAGACCCGGCCCAGACUCCUACGGGAGGCAGCAGUAGGGAAGCUUCCGCAAUGGACGAAAGUCUGACGGAGCAACGCCGCGUGAGUGAUGAAGGCUUUCGGGUCGUAAAACUCUGUUGUUAGGGAAGAACAAGUGCUAGUUGAAUAAGCUGGCACCUUGACGGUACCUAACCAGAAAGCCACGGCUAACUACGUGCCAGCAGCCGCGGUAA